rnacentral:tRNA from 1 species
GCCGGAGCUGACUGCGACAAGGUUGCAACACAAGCGUCCUAAGCCUUUGAUUUAGGCUGCGCAGCGUUGGACUGAGAAUCCGCGUGUCGGCGGUGCAAAUCCGUCCCUGGGCACCA